rnacentral:rRNA from 1 species
UGCCCUUGACUCUGGGAUAACCGCGGGAAACGGCGGCUAAUACCGGAUAUGAGACGUACAGGCAUCUGUUGCGUCUGGAAAGAUUUAUCGGUCAAGGAUGGGCUCGCGGCCUAUCAGCUUGUUGGUGGGGUGAAGGCCUACCAAGGCGACGACGGGUAGCCGGCCUGAGAGGGCGACCGGCCACACUGGGACUGAGACACGGCCCAGACUCCUACGGGAGGCAGCAGUGGGGAAUAUUGCGCAAUGGGCGCAAGCCUGAUGCAGCGACGCCGCGUGAGGGAUGAAGGCCUUCGGGUUGUAAACCUCUUUCAGCAGGGAAGAAGCGAAAGUGACGGUACCUGCAGAAGAAGCGCCGGCUAACUACGUGCCAGCAGCCGCGGUAAUACGUAGGGCGCAAGCGUUGUCCGGAAUUAUUGGGCGUAAAGAGCUCGUAGGCGGUUUGUCGCGUCUGCUGUGAAAACCUGAGGCUCAACCUCGGGCUUGCAGUGGGUACGGGCAGACUAGAGUGCGGUAGGGGUGACUGGAAUUCCUGGUGUAGCGGUGGAAUGCGCAGAUAUCAGGAGGAACACCGAUGGCGAAGGCAGGUCACUGGGCCGCAACUGACGCUGAGGAGCGAAAGCAUGGGGAGCGAACAGGAUUAGAUACCCUGGUAGUCCAUGCCGUAAACGUUGGGCACUAGGUGUGGGGCUCAUUCCACGAGUUCCGUGCCGCAGCAAACGCAUUAAGUGCCCCGCCUGGGGAGUACGGCCG